UGUAAUUUUAGCAAAAAAAGUUGCUCCACUCCUUGCGUGUAUUGGCACAGCAAUGACUUUAGCUGUUGCAUCAUCAAUUCGAGCCUUUAGAGCCCCUGAUGUUGUAUUAUCUCAUGCAAAAAAUCCAACACCUUGGAAUGAGAUAUCUCCAACGCAGCAAGUAAAACUGUUUAGCUCCAGUGACUAUUCUAAACUUGAACCCGUUGCACCUAAAGAAGCUUUCGAUGCAUUGAAGUAAUUGAUUGCGUACAUUGAAGUAAAUGUUUUUUUAUAUGUGAUGUAAUAUUUUUUUAAAUAAUAUUGUUUUAAAUAAUAUUGUACAAAAAAUUAAUCUUUGUAUAUUUGUAAUAUAAUACGACUCGCAUCUUUAGAGGAAAUAAAUAUGAUAUAUGA
rnacentral:misc_RNA from 1 species